AUGCUUCAUCAGCACAUAUACUAACAUUGAAAUGCUUACAGAGAAGAUUAACAAGGCUCCUGCCCAAGGAUGAAGCAUUCAUUUCUGUUUUACACCUUCAAUAA